UACGAGAGGCCCAAACGUUAUUCGGAUUUACUGGGCUUAAAGAGUUCGUAGGCGGCGCGGUAAGUCGGGUGUGAAAUCUCGGGGCUUAACUCCGAAACUGCAUUCGAUACUGCCGUGCUUGAGGACUGGAGAGGAGACUGGAAUUUACGGUGUAGCGGUGAAAUGCGUAGAUAUCGUAAGGAAGACCAGUGGCGAAGGCGGGUCUCUGGACAGUUCCUGACGCUGAGGCACGAAGGCCAGGGGAGCAAACGGG
rnacentral:rRNA from 1 species